ensembl:ncRNA W06B11.11 ncRNA
AGAAAGUUGCCAAAAGUAUAUUAUGUGAUACCAGGUUAGCUGGUGCGGCUUCGAAACGAGGCUCAAAUUUCAUUCGGAUGCCCUGUCGCGGAAGAUAAGAGCGCCUGACGCUGGUGUAUGAUUACCGGUGGGGAAACGUCCAAGGGGGCU